rnacentral:misc_RNA from 1 species
AAGUCGUAACAAGGUCUCCGUUGGUGAACCAGCGGAGGGAUCAUUACCGAGUACUAUAACUCAUAACCCUUUGUGAACCUUCAUACCUGUUGCUUCGGCGGCGCGCCUCGCGGGGCGUGCCCGCCGGCAUUAUCAGAAUCUCUGUUCGAACCCGACGAUACUUCUGAGUGUUCUAAGCGAACUGUUAAAACUUUCAACAACGGAUCUCUUGGCUCCA